GGCCCUAUAGCUCAGUUGGUUAGAGCAUGGUGCCGAUAACGCCAAGGUUGCAGGUGCAAUCCCCUAUGGGACA